AGUGAACGCUGGCGGUAGGCCUAACACAUGCAAGUCGAACGGCAGCACAGGAGAGCUUGCUCUCUGGGUGGCGAGUGGCGGACGGGUGAGGAAUACAUCGGAAUCUACUUUUUCGUGGGGGAUAACGUAGGGAAACUUACGCUAAUACCGCAUACGACCUACGGGUGAAAGCAGGGGAUCUUCGGACCUUGCGCGAUCGAAUGAGCCGGUGUCGGAUUAGCUAGUUGGCGGGGUAAAGGCCCACCAAGGCGACGAUCCGUAGCUGGUCUGAGAGGAUGAUCAGCCACACUGGAACUGAGACACGGUCCAGACUCCUACGGGAGGCAGCAGUGGGGAAUAUUGGACAAUGGGCGCAAGCCUGAUCCAGCCAUACCGCGUGGGUGAAGAAGGCCUUCGGGUUGUAAAGCCCUUUUGUUGGGAAAGAAAUCCAGCUGGUUAAUACCCGGUUGGGAUGACGGUACCCAAAGAAUAAGCACCGGCUAACUUCGUGCCAGCCGCCGCGGUAA
rnacentral:rRNA from 1 species